GGAGAAAAGAGAGGAAGGAAGAAAGAAAAAGGAAGAGAAAAGAGAGUAUGAAAGAAGUAGGCAAGGAAAGAGAGGGAGUCCUGCCUGUUGGGAGGUCUCUCCUUCAGUUUCCAGGUGAUGAAAAUUCAAGACUUCGAUGGAUGGAUACAGUGAGAAGCAGGAGGAAGGGGUCCAUAUAAGGGGCAUUUUGAAGAAGAAAGACUCAGGAAGAUAUGAUGGCUGAUUGGAUAAAAGAGAUGAAGGCGAGGCAAGAGUGAGGUUUUUGAGUUUGGGAGACUAGCAGCUGUGUGGGGCCAUCAGUAAAGCCAGAUAAGUUUAAAAAAGAAAAAAAGAAAGAAAAGAAGAAGAAGAAGAAGAAGGAAAGAAAGCUUGCUUGGGGAGAAGACUAAAAAUAGAGAGGCGGAGGGGGCUAUGUAGAGUUAUUUGAACCCAGGAAUGUGGACUAUGAGGAGGUGACCUGGUGUUUCCUAGAAGUUCUCACAUUAUAAGUGGAAAACCAGACUUAAAGGGGAAGAUUGAGGGAGGGGUCAAUACUAAAAAUAUGGAGUUGAACUUUUAAGAUAAAGAAAUGACACCAAUCAGUGAAAUCGAGAGAAGGAGAGAGGCAAUUUAUCAGAAGCAGCCGAAUAGUGAAAUGUUGAGGAAAUGAUCAUUUCUUCUCUAUUUCCAGGACUGUGAGUGCAGCUCACUGCACUGGAAUUACCUGUCUACCACUCUUCCAGCCUGUUCAGGGCAGGGACCUUGCAUCCCUCCUCGGUUCCUGCAGUAUCUAUCCGGUGCACCUCCUCCAUAGAAGCCUACCCGCCAUGACAUCCAGAUUAAGGGCACAGGUGGAGAGGUGGCUGCCUACAUGGUGACACUGCUAGUUUUGCAGGGAUCUGUUCAGAAGAUGAUCCAGCUACAGGCAACAGACAAACCUCAUGGAUGGAGAAAAAUGGCCAAGGGGAAGACUUCCUGUGACUCUGCAGGCAUUUUCAACCUGCAUGACAGAACACUUCCAUGCCAAAGUGCUCCUGGAAAAUUCCCUAUAAUGAAAUUUUCAGACUUGUUUGCCAUGGAAAAUUCCAGAUAUUAACUAAACUGAUGCUUCAUUCUAGAUCUUUCAGUUUUCUGAGAUAAUCUGGUGAACACUGAGGGGGGUUUAGUUAAAAGAGGAAGAGAUUUGGUGGACUGUGGUAUAUACAUCUCUAGGCUCUAGGGGUAUGCAAACAUGUAUGGUGAGUACAAAAAAGCACAAUGAUGCCUGAUACAGCAGUGUUCCUAGGGGAUCAUGUGGUUUAUGUGAUUUUUCCAUGUAACUCAUGCUUACUCUUUAAAUAAUAAAAAUAAGGAAUCAUAAAUAAGA